rnacentral:rRNA from 1 species
UACAGAGGGGGCAAGCGUUGUUCGGAAUUACUGGGCGUAAAGGGCGCGUAGGCGGCCUGCUAAGUCGAACGUGAAAUCCCCGAGCUCAACUCGGGAACUGCGUCCGAUACUGGCAGGCUUGAAUCCGGGAGAGGGAUGCGGAAUUCCAGGUGUAGCGGUGAAAUGCGUAGAUAUCUGGAGGAACACCGGUGGCGAAGGCGGCAUCCUGGGCCGACACUGACGCUGAGGAGCGAAAGCUAGGGGAGCAAACGGG